rnacentral:rRNA from 1 species
UCAUCAUGCCCUUAUGUUCUGGGCUACACACGUGCUACAAUGGCCGGUACAGACGGACGCAAAGCCGCGAGGUGGAGCAAAUCCUAAAAAAGCCGGUCUACAGUUCGGAUUGCAGGCUGCAAUUCGCCUGCAUGAAGUCGGAAUCGCUAGUAAUCGCAGGUCAGCAUACUGCGGUGAAUACGUUCCCGGGCCGUU